GAUGAAGAACGUAGCGAAAUGCGAUAAGUAGUGUGAAUUGCAGAUUUCAGUGAAUCAUCGAAUCUUUGAACGCACAUUGCGCCCUUUGGUAUUCCUUAGGGCAUGCCUGUUCGAGCGUCAUUUAAACCUUCAAGCUCAGCUUGGUGAUGGGUGACUGUCCGCUGCCUCCCCCCGGGGUGCGCCGCGGACUCGCCUCAAAACGAUUGGCGGCCGGUACGUUGGCUUCGAGCGCAGCAGAAACGCGUAACUCGAGGUGCCCGUGGCGGCUCCCAGAAGCAACCUUAUUAUUUUUACCUCGGAUCAGGUAAGGAUACCCGCUGAACUUAAGCAUAUCAAUAAGCGGAGGA
rnacentral:misc_RNA from 1 species